GCCUCAGGCUCCAGAGUAGCUGGGACUACAGCACGGUGCCAGGCACAAUGGUGAUUAAGACAGCUGCUCCCUGUUCUGUGUGGACACUUGUGGUCUAGACGGCAAGAGACAGACAAGUCAACACACUUCGGUGAUUUCUUCUCAUCCACCCACUCCCUUCGGACCUCAACAUGACAUUGGUGUAGUCGUGAACCUGACAAUUGGUGACGUCAACAGGAUAAGGUGAGUGGGUCUUCAGCUCCCAGUCUGCUAUGUGACUGCAGCA